rnacentral:rRNA from 1 species
AGGGUUUGAUCCUGGCUCAGAACGAACGCUGGCGGCAUGCCUAACACAUGCAAGUCGAACGGGAUCCGGACUUCGGUUCGGUGAGAGUGGCGGACGGGUGAGUAACGCGUGGGAACCUGCCCAGUGGUGGGGGAUAACUGCGGGAAACUGCAGCUAAUACCGCAUGAGCCCGAAGGGGGAAAGAUUGAUCGCCAUUGGAGGGGCCCGCGUUCGAUUAGGUAGUUGGUGGGGUAACGGCCUACCAAGCCUGCGAUCGAUAGCUGGUCUGAGAGGAUGAUCAGCCACACUGGGACUGAGAUACGGCCCAGACUCCUACGGGAGGCAGCAGUGGGGAAUAUUGGACAAUGGGGGCAACCCUGAUCCAGCAAUGCCGCGUGAGUGAUGAAGGCCUUCGGGUUGUAAAGCUCUUUUGCCAGGGACGAUGAUGACGGUACCUGGAGAAUAAGCCCCGGCUAACUUCGUGCCAGCAGCCGCGGUAAUACGAAGGGGGCAAGCGUUGUUCGGAAUUACUGGGCGUAAAGGGCGCGUAGGCGGCUUGCCAAGUCAGGCGUGAAAUUCCCGGGCUCAACCUGGGGGCUGCGCUUGAUACUGGCUGGCUUGAAUGCGGGAGAGGAUGGUGGAAUUCCCAGUGUAGAGGUGAAAUUCGUAGAUAUUGGGAAGAACACCGGUGGCGAACGCGGCCAUCUGGCCCGUGAUUGACGCUGAGGCGCGAAAGCGUGGGGAGCAAACAGGAUUAGAUACCCUGGUAGUCCACGCCGUAAAC